AUACAAAUCCUUGCAGUAAAGGAUAUCCUCCAUUCUUGACUUCCAAAUUGAGUAAUUGAAUGCAGUCAAUUUUAACAUUGUUGCUGACGAUGAUGAUGACAACUCCUCCAUCUUAAAUUACACAAGAAGAUAAUUUUUGAGCUGAACCUUUGAUACCACUUGUUGGGAAAGAUGACGAAUAAAUAAAAGUCAAUAAAUACAUUUGGCAGUCG
rnacentral:lncRNA from 1 species